CUCUGGAUGUAACUCCGAUCCCUGCAGCCUAAGGGGGGAAACAACCUACGGCGGCAGGGGCGAUGUUCCGCGCAACGGGAAGGAACUCAGGGUUCGGGCGGAAACGCCUGCGCCUCCCGCGAUUGGAAAGGAGCGCCUUCGCCGGAAAU
rnacentral:ncRNA from 2 species